UUUCGUAGGAGGGUUUGUUGUACUAUUUUAAGCGCUAUUUAAACAACACUGUAACACCUGCUCGGACGGUGAUACAAUAAUCGACCGGUCGUGUUGAUUCUAUUCUAGUCCACUGCACAGCAUUGUGAUGGCCAAAAGCACCAAUUCUUUUAGACUUUGUUUGGGAUUGUGGGGAAAUUGCGUUACAUGCGAUGAAAAAAAUAUUCCGUUUGUUUUCAUACACAAUAUUGUGUUCUGCAUAUCGCAAUGAGUCGGUUAUGAUAUAUUUUCUGCGGUUCCACCGGAGAACGCAAAAGCAUAUUCCUAUAUGCUUUUACCCUAACUCUUUUAUCUAAUAACGUUAGAUAGAUCUCAAUAUCAAACUAAACCUUAAGAAGCAACAAAAGUAUUGCUUGA
rnacentral:lncRNA from 1 species